rnacentral:misc_RNA from 1 species
UCCGGCUUAACGCCGGCAGUCCCCCUAGAGUGCCCAACUGAAUGGUGGCAACUAAGGACAAGGGUUGCGUUCGUUGCGGGACUUAACCCAACACCUCACGACACGAGCUGACGACAACCAUGCAGCACCUGUCUUGGAGCUCCGAAGAGGGGACCUCGUUUCUGAGGUCUUUCCCCAAGAUGUCAAGCCCAGGUAAGGUUCUUCGCGUUGCGUCGAAUUAAACCACAUGCUCCACCGCUUGUGCGGGCCCCCGUCAAUUCCUUUGAGUUUCAGCCUUGCGGCCGUACUCCCCAGGCGGGGCGCUUAAUGCGUUAGCUACGGCACGGAUCCCGUGGAAGGAAACCCACACCUAGCGCCCACCGUUUACGGCGUGGACUAC